rnacentral:rRNA from 1 species
GACGAACGCUGGCGGCGUGCUUAACACAUGCAAGUCGAACGAGUGGCGGACGGGUGAGUAAUGUCUGUGAAACUGCCUGAUGGAGGGGGAUAACUACUGGCAACGGUAGCUAAUCCCGCAUACCAUCGGAUGUGCCCAGAUGGGAUUAGCUAGUCGGUGGGGUAAAGGCUCACCUAGGCGACGAUCCCUAGCUGGUCUGAGAGGAUGACCAGCCACACUGGAACUGAGACACGGUCCAGACUCCUACGGGAGGCAGCAGUGGGGAAUAUUGGACAAUGGGCGCAAGCCUGAUACAGCCAUGCCGCGUGUAUGAAGAAGGCCUUCGGGUUGUAAAGUACUUUCAGCGGGGAGGCGUUACCCGCAGAAGAAGCACCGGCUAACUCCGUGCCGGCCGCCGCGGUAAUAC